rnacentral:lncRNA from 1 species
UAGUUCACUGUUCUUUAAUAAGUUUGCUAGUCUUUGAUAGAGAAAGUUCUGGAAAAAAAUGGCUCUUUGGGAAAACACGUAUUUGUUUGUUCUCCCAUGGAAAGGGCAAGAGAGCGAACUUCCUUAUUUAUUCCAGCACGGAAGGGGUUUCACUCUGAAAAGAUCUGGCUCUCCUUGAAUCUGGGAUCUGAAGAGGACAGCAAUGGAGAUACAUCUUUACAAUGUGUCAUCUGUGGAUGAAAGUGUGCUCCACUGAAGCAGUCCUUUCUGAGCUACUGACUGGAAAUUGAGGUAAAGGAGCCUGUAUCUUAUUUUUAUGUUAUAAUUUUAAAGAGUUGGUUACAGGGCAUUAGCUCUAACUUUCACUGAUAAUUCUGCCUGGUUAAAAAGAAAAGGUAAUAUCCACUGCAUGGAGCUUUUUCUGGUUUAAAAGAAAAGAUAAUCACAGAAUGGUUUGGGUUGGAAGGGACCUUAAAGAUCAUCUAAUUCCAAUAAUGAAUUGAAUGAACAGUCGUUUGAUAUCAUUUUGUAUUAUUUAACUACUGUUUAAACAUCUGUAAGUAUAUUAUUCUACUGUGAAAAGCACGACUGCUGUAAAAGGUGAGGGUAGAAAUACCAUGCAGCUACUGUAGGUAUAGAUGGCAAACCUGAGGCUUGCUCCUUAUUGUUGACUAAGUCACUCUUCUGUGGUUUGUCCAUAUUUCAUCUAGCAUAGAUAAUAAUCUAGUCAAUAGUUGCAAACAAAGGUACCUGCUUAACAGUAAAAGAAACACUUAAAUUUUACUGUUUAGGAGAACCACUUAGGAUAAACACUGUGAUUCUACUCUGUCAUACUGAAUUUUAAUGAAUUUUAACAGUUUGCCCUGUUGUGCUGCCUGCACUGUAAGUAAACUAAUGACGGCCAGAGCAUUGUUUUUAACUGUUAUCGCUUCAUGUAGCGUUUUCUUAGUAUUUGAACAGCAUCAUCACAUCAGCCCCCUGAUCUAGACCAAAUGGGGAUGUGUGGUAGGCAUGAGCUCUAAGGCAAACGGGUACUUUGAAAUUCCCCUUUGUGGCCAGGACACCUCUGUGAAACCCAGGCGCAGUCAGACACCUGCUGUGGUUUCGCUGUCUCUAAUUCCUCUGUGUGAUUGAGCUGUCUGCUGUGGGAGAGGGCAGUUUUUGUGGCUAUAGCUUGCCUAGAAAGAGUCUGGCAAAGUCAGUGUUAUUGCCUGCAAGCAAGGGGAAGCUGAGGCAGCGG